rnacentral:lncRNA from 1 species
CCCCUAGGAGNAAAAAAAAAAAAAAAAGAGGACCGGCUUUUUUAGAGCAAGACAAUCCCAGAGAGAUGAAGUGACUGACCCAAGGUUACACAGAGUGGAAUCUGUAUCUUCUGAUUUCUCUACUGGCCUGCACUCCAUGUUCUGAGGAGGAAUCCUUGAAGCUACUGAGAUAAUGGAACAAUGGAGUAGAUAGUCCAUUAUAACUCAUCUGGGAUUCUUCUCAUCUUCAAGUGACCACAGAAAAAAGGUUGUCCUGCCCCAUUCUGUCCCUUUUGCUGUACCCAUGGUGACUGCAUCAGCCUGAGAAGACUGUGAUGUUACUUCUCUGCUUGAGAUGGUAGGGGACUGGAGAUGGCUCAGCGGUUAA